rnacentral:ribozyme from 1 species
GAAAAAAUUUACUUGUUUAAUAUUUUUUCUUUUGCUUUGUUUUUUCUUGGUUUUUGUGAUGGGCUGUUUUUCGUUGUUCCCACUAGCAGGAGUCGUUCGGUUAGAUCCUCUUGCAGAGUAGAAAAGGAUCUGAACU